AUUGAACGCUGGCGGCAGGCCUAACACAUGCAAGUCGAGCGGCAGCGCGGGGGCAACCCUGGCGGCGAGCGGCGAACGGGUGAGUAAUACAUGGGAAUCUGCCUGGUAGUGGGGGAUAACUCUGGGAAACUAGAGGUAAUACCGCAUACGUCCUACGGGAGAAAGGGGGGAUCUUCGGACCUCUCGCUAUCAGAGGAGCCCAUGUCCGAUUAGCUAGUUGGUGAGGUAAAGGCUCACCAAGGCGACGAUCGGUAACUGGUCUGAGAGGAUGGUCAGUCACACUGGAACUGAGACACGGUCCAGACUCCUACGGGAGGCAGCAGUGGGGAAUAUUGGACAAUGGGCGAAAGCCUGAUCCAGCAAUGCCGCGUGAGUGAUGAAGGCCUUAGGGUUGUAAAGCUCUUUUACCCGGGAUGAUAAUGACAGUACCGGGAGAAUAAGCUCCGGCUAACUCCGUGCCAGCAGCCGCGGUAAU
rnacentral:rRNA from 1 species